rnacentral:lncRNA from 1 species
AGGAAUCCAUUUUAAGAUAUGAUAACUUUGUUAGAGAACAUCAAAAUUUUGAUUUAAGCUAUAAAGAGUUUAUUGAUUUAGUUAAAUGUCUGUCAGAAGAACUAAAACAACAUAGUGAAAUUGUUGGUGAUUUAGGGCUUUUACAAGUAUAUAUAAUAACUAUAUAAUUACUAAUUUUCUUUCUGAAAUUAUUUAAUUUAAUUAUUUAUAUAUAAAGGCAAGACAAAAGAAACUAUUGGCAAUAUCUGACUCAAAAUGUCAACAAAGUGUACAAUAUGAGUCUCUUGCAAAUAUGGCAGAAAAACUAUACGUCCAAACUUCUCCAGAUGGAAGAGAAAUCAUACGACAACAAAUGAAGUAUGUAUAAAUUAAUUUUAUAUAUAAAUGGUCUAUGAUAUUAAUUUAUUUAAAUUUAAGGGAUUUGAGAAUUUCAUGGGAGUUAGUUUCUGAAAGUUUACAAUCAAGUCUUGAAAAACUAGAAAAUUGCUUAUUGCAGUUUGCAGAGUUUUCACUAUCACAAGAACAAUUAACUAAGUGGCUCAAAAAUAUUGAGCAAGCUAUGCAACAACACACUGAAACAAAAGCCACUUUACAAGAGAAAAAAGCUCAACUUCAGGUACUUGCAUUGUAAAAUCUGCCUAAAAAGAUUAUUUUAUAGUAUAUUAUUAUUUUUAAUCAUAUUUAUUUGGAAAUUAGAACCACGUUGUAAUAAAUCAAGAAAUAUUGUCUCAUCAAACACUUGUACAAUCAGUAUGCGAUAAGGCUCAAGAACUUGUAAAUCAAACUAGGGAUAAUACUUUAAAUACAUAUUUAGAAUCAAUUAAAUACCUAUAUGAAAAAAUUGUUACGAAAUCUAAGGUGAUUUUUUAUUAUAAAUUACAGAUAUUUAGUAAAUUCAAAUUAAAUAAUUUUGUGAUUAACUAGGAGCUAAUGGACUCAUUAGAGCUUUCAGUUCAAAAUCAUUCAGAAUUUAAUCUUGUUUGUCAAAAACUUAGGCUGAUGAUAAAAGAACAACGUGAUAAAAUAAGAGAUAGUGACAACAUUGCUGUUGAAAAAGACAUAAUUGUCAAAAAAAUUAAUAUUUUUAAAGUAAAUAUAUACUGGAAUAUAAAUAAUUUGUGUUCAUAAUUUGAAUAUUAUAAUCCUGUUGUAGGAAAUGAAAACAUCAAAUAUAACAGAAAAUGAUUUACAAAAUCAUCUUGAACAAAUAUUUCAGUUAGUAAGCAAAUCAACUACAAAAAAAGGAAUUAAUGUUAUGAAAAAAGAAAUAUCAAAAAUAGAUAGUGAUAAGUCACAAUUAAUAGUACAACUUGGUAAAUAAUAUUAAAAUUUACUUUUUAUAAUCACCCACACAUAAUAGCUAAAAACAAUUUUUUCACUUAUAGUUAGUGAAUCUUUUAAAAGAUUUAAUCUCAAAAGGCCUGUAAAAAAAACUUACUUAAUUCUUGUAUCCCAUUUAAGAUUUAUUUAUUAUAAAUUUAACUUAUUGAUAUUGAAUUAAUAUAUAUAUUAUUAAAUGUUUAUUAAAUCUCUAAUUAGAUUAGCUUAUAAUUGUUAUUAAUGUAUAAGAUAAGUUUAUAAUAAUAAACUUUGGUUUCAGAUACUAUUAUUGAAAAAAUGGAGGAUAUUUUGGUGCAAUGGACUGAUUUUGAAAAUGAAUUUGAGGAAAUAACAAGUUGGUUCAGAUCAACAGAAUUGCUUAUUAAAGAUCAACAACUACAAGCAACAUUUGAAACCAAGGAAAAUAAAUUCAAACAUUUUACGGAAAAACGAAAUGAAGUAUUACAAUAUGAACCAAAAAUUGAGAAAUUUAUCGAUAAUUCUAAUAAUUUGUUACACACAAGUGGAGUAGAACGUCUAAAACCACUUAUACUUCAAGUAGGAAACCGGUAAGAAAAACAUAAUUAGUUUAAAAAAAAAUGUUUGUAUUAUAAAUUUGUUUAUUGUAAUAUCAAUAAUUAUUUAUGUGUACCAGGUAUCAAUUACUUCUAGUUUUAAGUAAAGAAAUAGUGGCUAAAUGGCAAAACAUUUCUGAUGACCAUAAGAACUUUAAUGAUAAGUUGGCUGAAUUCAAAUUAUGGUUAGAAAUAUUAGAAAAUAAACCUGAUCCAAUUUUGAAUGAUGAUAAUUUAGAUUUAAAUAAAAAAUUAUCACAAUUACAAAGUUUGUAUAGUAGUUCUGAUCAAACAUCAUCAAAAAUUUCAUUUUUAACUUCUUUGGGUGAGAGUUUAUACCCUGAUACAUCUGCUACAGGACGAGAAAUCAUUAGGCAACAACUUACAGAAAUUCGUGAAAGGUAUCUUAAAUAUUUUUAUAUUGUUAAUUUAGAAACAUUUCUACAAAAAAUGUUUAUUGUAACUGAUUUAUUUAUUAUUAACAGAUGGGAUACAUGGGAUGAAAAAAUUAAAACUGCUCAAAAAUCUCUAGGAGUACAAUCCCAACAAUGGAAUAGUUAUCAAGAAACCCUUUUACAAACUAUAAAUUGGUUGGAAAGUGUAGAAAAAGCCAUUGCCUCUAAUCAAACAUCUAUAUGGUCUUCUCUACAAGAAAUAAGAUCAAAACUUUUAAAGCAAAAAGUAAAUAUACAAAAUAAAAUAAAAUAAAAUGCUACUAAUCAAUAUCAAUUAUAUUAUAGGUAAAUAAUUCAUUUUUUUUUUUUUAGGCCACAAUGCAAGAAAUAAACUCUCAUAGUCGGAUGAUUGAAACAAUAUUGGAGAAAGGAAAAACAAUUAAGAAACCUAAAGAUGAAAAUAAUUCAGAAAUAUCAUUGAAGGAUAGAUAUGAUUUAUUACGUGAAAAAAUGAAUAAUUCUAUUUCACAAUUAGAGAAUUACUUAGAAACCUAUCAGCAAUAUCAAGACUUACUUAAAUCAUAUCAAGAUACUCAAAAACAGCUUUGGGAUCAACUUUCAAUAUAUACAGGUUUAUAAAUCAUAAUGUUAUUAUCAUUCUAGAACUUUAAUAAUAAUGUAAAAAUUAAAAUUAUUUUAGAUUAUUCAGGAAAUAAACAAAUUUUAGAAAUGCGAUUGAAUAAAGUUAAUGUUAUACAAACUACUUUUGAUAACAAUAAAACAACUUUAAUGGCAAUGGAACAUUUUAUUGAAAACUUAAAGGAUACAAUUCCACAAAAAGCAAUUGAUAUGAUGUCGAGGGAUCAUACAAAUUUACAGUAAAAAUUUUAAAAAAAGAAGCUAGUUGAAGAUAUAAUUAGAUACACCUAAUUUCAUUAUAGAUUUGAACAAGAAAAGUUCCAGUCAUUGUUAAAUGAUUUAUUAGAUGGUUUACAAAGUAGAAUAGUUCAAUGGGUAGAGUUUGAAAAUUUAAUUCAUCAGUUAGCUUCAUGGCAUAAUGAUACAGAAAAAAAGUUACAAAACUAUUCAGAGAAGGGUACACUUGAAGAAAAAACACAACAAUAUAAUAAAUUUCAGGUAUAAAUUUUAUAUUUAAUUCACACAAAAGAGAAAUACUAGGUUUUAUCUACACUCACACUCAUCAUUAGUGUUAUCUUAAUAUAAAUAUAUAGAUAUUAUGUUUUUAUAUGAUUUAUUAUUAUUACUUAUAAUAAUAUAUAAUUAACAGUGGGUGUAACAUAUGGUGGAUAUUGGUGUUAAAACAUCCCAAAUAUCAGAAAAAUAAACAACUAAUAAUAAAAAUUCCAUUGAUUUAAAAUGUAUUUUAAGUUAUUAACGUAAGAAAUUCUAAUGAGAUCCUUUAUUUUUUCUGAGUCAUAGUUUUGUAUUGUGUCAGUGUUACAAUAUGUAAUUAAAAUAAUAACAAUGAAAUUAAAAUACAAAUGAAUAAUUUAUUAAAUUAAUAGGUAUAAUAAUUUUGUAAAUUAAUAUUAUUAUAGUAUUAUAAAAUUUAGUUUUGAAUUUAAUUUAGGAUUUAGAAAAAGAAAUUAAAGGAAAAUUGAACGCAGUGAAGGAUUUAAUUGCAUAUGGUGAUCAUCUUCAACAAGUAAGAUUUAUUCAAAGAAAAUGAAUAUUGCAUGCACCGUGUUAUUAAUUUUUUUAAUAAGCCAAGUAUAAUUUGACACAAAAAUAUUGUCAAAUAAAACAAAUUAUAUAAUUUCACUUUAAUUUAUAAAUUGUAUAUAAUUGUUUAUAAAAAAAUACUUUUAAGAUUAUUUUAAAUUUAAAAUAUUGAUUAAUGUUAAUUUGUUACUAUGUUAUAGUCAUUAUUGGAUGACAUGAAAAAGAAAGAUUUAAAUGUUGAUAAACUUAUUGAUCAAGCUAAUGAACAAGAGGCAACAGGUGAAGCACGAUUAUCAACCAGAGUCAAACAGAUAUCAUCUCGUUAUCAAUCGAUGCAAACUACCAUUAAAGUAAAAAUAAAUAAUGUUUUAAAUUAGUUAAAAUUAAUUUGUUUUAUAUUAUUUCAGGACAUUUUAAAUAAAUGCCAUGAAUCGAUUAAAAUUCAUCAAGAAUAUAUAGACAAGUAUAAUGAAUGUUCUAUUCAAUUUUCAAACAUUCAAAGUCAAUUUAAAAAUGUCAAUGAACCUCCAUUAUCCUCACAAGCUAUACAUCAAUAUUUAAUUCAGAAAAAUGGAAAAUUAAAUGAAUUGUUAGAUACAAAACCAAAUGUUACAUCUUUGUUGAAUAAUUGUAUUGAAUUAGGAGAAAAAUUAUAUUUGAGUACAUCUAUAUCUGGAAGAGAUGACAUUAAACGUCAGUUAGAAGAACUUCAAAUCCUAUUUGAUACUUUAUAUGAUGAUCUUUUAAAUAUUAAUAGAGAUGUUAAAGAUCAAUUAACUAAAUGGAGUGGAUUUGAAGAGCUAUAUAAUGAAUUAAAUAAAUGGUUCAACAGCACUAAACAAAUAUUAAAUAAAGAUUUAGUGCUUAAAUCUACUUUAGAUGAAAAAAAAAUGCAAUUACAAAUCUAUAGAGACAUGCUACAAGCUACAUUAAAAAGGAAACAAGAUAUUGUGAAAUUACAUGAUCUUACUGACAGAAUGCAAAUGCGAGAAAAUAAUGAUAUUCUUAUAUCUUCUAUGAAUAAACAACAUGAUGACAUUUUAAAACUAAUUCAAGACUUUGUUGAUAAAUAUGAAGCAAUUGUAAAAGACCAUGAACAAUAUACUAAGUCUGUAAUGGAAAUGCAAGAAUGGCUUGACGCAACUCAUAAUACAAUAAUACUCUGGGGUGAUACAAAUUUAGAAAAAAUUUCUUUAUUGAGUAAUUUAGAUCGAAUUAAGGUAAAUAAGAAUUGAAGUUAUUGUCCAUUAUAAAUAUUUCAUACUUAUGAUUAAUUUUGUGUUUAUUAUGUAUAAUCAUAUUUUUCAGAAUUUAUUAUUAAGCCUUACAGAAGAAGAAAAUAGAAUUCAUAAUAUACAAAAACUAGCUGAAAAAGUUAUACCUGGUACAGUGGAAAAUGGACAAGUGAAUAUUAGGGCACAAAUUGACUCAUCACAACAAGAUUGGGAAGGACUUAUUACUACAGUAAAGUAAGAACACAGAUAUAUAAAUAUGUGUAAUGAGUAUGCUCUUUCUUAUAUGUUUUUUAGAAUAUUUUAGUAAUAAUAAUGUAGUUUUAAUUGUACAAAAUAAAAUUGGAACAUUAUUUUUUUUAAUAAAUAUAACUAUAUAGUAUAUAUUAUCUUUAUUAUUCUAUGAAAAAAAUAAAUUAUAUGUUUAGAUCAUCAAUAGAAGCUUUAGAAAAUAAACUUAAUAGUUGGAAUGAAUUUGAUACACUUAAGGAAUCAUGUUUAAUAUGGUUACGAGAAACUGAUUAUAAAAUACAUGCUAUUGAUUUGAAAAACUCAUUACAAGAAAAGAAAACUCAGCUUGAAGAACUUAAGGUUGUUUUAAUAAUUAUAUAAUUUAAAUAUACAAUUUAUAUUAUUAUAUUUUAAUUAUUAUUUAUAAUAAAUAACUAUAUAUAUAUUAAUUAUAGGAUUUACAAGGAGUAAUUCGAGCUAAAGAAUUUGAGAUUGAUUCAAUUACUGAAAAAUCACAAAAUCUGUAUACAAUGUCUAUGUCAAGUAAAAAUUCUCAGAUUACAGAAAUUGUUCAAAAAUUUCAUCAGCUUUCAAUGAAAAUAAAAGUAUUUGUGUUAAUUAUUAUUAAUUUUUAAAUUAUAAUUUAUUGGUUUUUUUUUUUAUAAUUUCAAGGAAUUGGUUGGGAAAUGGCAACAAUUUGUUAACAACCACUUAGAAUUUGAAAGUAGUCUAAGUGAAGCUAUUAUUUGGUUGGAUACUGUUGACGAUAAACUCACAAGUUGUACAGAUUUUAAAUCCACUAGUAAAGCUGAUUUAGAAGAAAAACUCAUUGUCAUCCAAGUAAAUAUAAAAAACUAAUAUUAAUAUAGUUAAAGUAUACAUUUAACUACAUCUAGAACAAUGAUUUAUUUAUUAUAAUUUUGAAGUAUUCAAAUAAAUUUAAAACAUUAGUUUUAAUUCUAUAUAAUAGUUAUUACAGUUAAAAUCUCUAUUAAUGGACACCUCUCAAUAAUGAAUCCUUCCUAAUAGUGAACACUUUUAAAUUCCCCUGCAUAAAUGUAUAUAAUAAGAGUUAUAACCUCUUAAUAGUGGAUGUGGACACUUAGAACUGGUACCAAAAUUAAAAAUUACCUCUUAUAAAUGGACACAAUACAUGUACAUACCGAAAAUGUUUAAGUAAUAAAAAUAUCAUACAUAUUUAUUUUUAUAAAUUUUGUUUAUAUUUUAUGUUAUCUUAAGAGAACGUUAUCUUGCAUUUACUGUUUCAGUGCAACUACCAAGUAACAUACAAAAACAAUGCUUAUGCGGAAUAGGUAAAAACAAGCUUAAUUUUGAUUUUAGAGUAAAAGUACCUAUUAUUAUGAAAUUUAUAAAGAAUAAUAUUUUAGAGAGAAUGUCAUAGAUGUUUUUUGAAUUGUGAAAUAUUAAAAAAUAAAAAAUAAUAAAGGUUUUUGUAUCUUUUAUAUCGAGCUUUAUAUUUUGAAUAAUACAAAAUCCCUAUGAAAUUCCUUCCAAAUAUUGUUCUCUAUAAAUUUAAUUAUACAUACUUUUACUCUAAAAUCAAAAUUAAACUAGUUUUGCUUAUUCUGUGUAAUCAUUGUUUUUGCAUGUUACCUACCCGGUAGUUGAACUGAAAUAGUAUAUGUGAGUAUAACGUUCUCUUAAUGGUUUUCCUAUUCGAUAAAUGACAAAUGGUUUGGUUAUGUGUUCGGUCAUCAGUUGUGUACUAAAAACAUGUACACAAAAAAAGAUUACAGAUUUUUUUUAAUUGUGCAUAAACAUAUAUCAUUUUUAUAUCCACUUUUUAAUACAUGUACCUUCAUAUAUAUAUAUAUAUUUAUUAUGUAUAUAAUAAAUAAUAAAUACAAAUUAAAUUUAAUAUUAAUCAUAUUAUAUCAAUUAAUUAAUAUAUUUCAGUAUAAUAAUAAUACAUUUUUUAUAAAUUAUAAUAAAUAAUACCAAUUUUAAUGUACAUGUAUAUGUAUAGCUAAUUCUCUAUAGCGCCUUCCUAUAAUGAACGUUUUGUAAUUUCUCGUAAAUAUUCACAAUAUAGACUUUUCAUUGUAUAACAUUAAGUAAGAAAACAUAAAAGAUUAAAAAUGUUUUUUCUCAAAACAUUAAAUUUCUUAUGGAUUCUCACUCAAACACAAAAUAAUAUAUUUUAUUAUUGUGAAAAUUAAUUAUAGUAAUUUAUAUUUUAUAUUUUUUAGGAUAUUUUGUUGUACAAAGAUGAUGGUUUUAGUAAAGUGCAAAAUUGUAUUGAAAUAGGCCAGUUAGUUUUAGCGAACACUGCACCUGAAGGACACAAAUCAAUAAAUGAAUCACUUAUAUCUUUACAAGAACAUUGGAGUAGUUUGGCAACAAAGAUGGUUGAAACCAAGGUAAAUACAUAAUAAUAUAUUAUAAUUAGUCAAAAAAUAACAUUUUUGAUUCAUUAAAUUAUAGACGAAUAUUGAUGAAUCGAUUCAACGGUGGUCAGGAUUUUUAGAACAUGUAAAGCAAGUUGGACAAAUAAUAGAUAAAUUUGAAGAAGCAUUACCUGAGUUAGAAGAAUUACAAGGAACUAUGGCUGAAAAAAGGGACCAAUUAGAGAAAUUAAAAGUACAUAUAAUUUUUAUAAAUAAAUAAUAUAAUUUUUAGUACCAUUUAGAGCUAAAUAUAUAUUUAAUUCCAAAUAAGUUAAGAAAUUAUUGGUAAAGUACUGAUGUAUUUCAAAAUGUAUAUUUUAAUCAAUUGAUAAAAUUCUAAUUUUGUUUCUUUUUUCUAUAUAGAACUCUUAAAUUAAAUCUAUUCAAAAUUAUUUAUACUAAAGUGAACUGUAGAUCCUGGUAAAAAUGUAUCUUUAUUUUGGAUUUAAUGAAAAAAUGAGUUCAUAUAAAUUAUAUAUAAUUAAUUUAAUAAUGUUAUAAAUUAAUAAUAAUUGUUAUAAAAAAAGUUAAAAAAGCUAAGGGGGGUAUGCCACUGUUGUUGGUAGGAAGUUGGGAAGAUAGGAUACAUAAAUUUAUUUAAUUUAUAUCUAUAAGGAACAAUAAACUGUUAUUAACGAUAAACAAUACGGAGAGAAGUUUGGUUAUACAUGUUUUGAAAGGCCAUAAUAUUUACAAUUUAAUAUAAAUUACACUCAAUUUUUUUUCCCACUAAGUACAACUUAAAAUGAGAAUCCUGUUAAAUCAUUAAGUAUUUUUGUUUAGUUUAAAAAUUUUAUCCACAUUUGUAGGUUUCUACAAAAUAAAAAUUAGGUUCAAAACUAGUUCAAAUGUUUUUAAAAAUGUAUAGAACAAAGUUCUGGUAGGUUUAGUUAGAGAAAAGGAAGUGUGAUGGGCUGUAGAAGCAAUGAAAAAGAAAAACAUUAAGUCCAAAUAGAGUACCAGUGGAAGUGUGGAAAAUGUUAGGGGAGUUCAGCACAAUAUGCUGGUUAAAAGAUUUGUUUUAAUUAUGUUCUACUAGAAGGAAAAAUACUAGAUGAAUGGAGAGUUUCGUAGUACUUAUAUUUAAUGGGAUAAAAAAGUUAUAAAAAGUAUGAAAAUUAUAAAGAAAUAAAGUUGUUGAAUCAUAGUAUGAAGAUUUGUGAAAGUUUAUAAAAAAAGUGAAUAAAAAGUGAAAUUAUAUAUGGCUUAUAGAUUUAGAGAAGGCAUAUGGCAUUGUACUGACAGUUUUUCUGAUAAUAGAUAAAGUAGUAGGUAGGUACUAGUUUUUACAAAAAAAUAUUAUUAUAAAUAUAGUAAGUUUAUGACAUUUUUAAUUUGCAUUUUCUUAUAUAAAAAUUAUAAGCAUUUGAUUGUUUUUUUUAGCAUUUGGAUGAAAAAGUUCGUUGUGAAAAGUUGGAAAUGGAUUCUUUGAAAUUAAAAGCACACGAGAUGCUAAAAACAGGCCAUCAAAGCAAUGCUGUUGCAGGAACACAAGAAGUAUUUGAUAAGUUUGACAGAAUUUCAGAUAAAGUGAAGGUAAAUUUAUUAUAUGUAGAUAAUUAUUCAAUUUUUUAGUUUUGUGUUUUAAUCAAUUAAAUUUAAUUUUAGAAAUUACUCAACCAACGUGAACAACAAUAUAAAGAUCAUAAAACAUAUAAGGAAGCAUAUGAAGAAUUAUCUAAUUUCUUAAACAGAUCUCGAGACAAAAUACCAUCAUUAAAAGAACGACCACUUAGUGAUAAAUUAGCUAUUGAAAAUGCCAUAAUGCCAUUAGAGGCUCUUUUGAAUAAGAGAGCUCAAGGUGAAUUACUUUUAGAUAAUUUAAAUACAAUUGGAGACAUUAUAACAGCAAGUACUUCUGAAACUGGAGAGAAAAUUAUCAAACAAGAAAUUUCUAUUAUAACUGAAGAAUUAAAAAAAUUAUUUGACGGUAUAUUAAACAAUUAGAUGUAUUAUAUUAUUAUUACUUAGGUAGGUACUGAUUUUUAUUUUUUCCAUUUAGAUAUAUUAUCUCAAAAAGAUAAUCUCCAUGCUAUUCAUACACAUUGGAGAGAGUAUAAAGAUGAGUAUGAAAAGCUUUCUGAUUGGUUGCAACAAAUUGAUAUAUCAAUGAAAGCUAUUAAAAAUACCCCAUUAGCGACUGUAGUGGAAAAAACAGAUCAAGUAGAACAAAUUCAGGUGAACUCCUUUAUAUGUUCCAUAAACUAUUAAUAAAAGGAUAACACAUAUUUUUAAACAAUGUUAAUAUUAAACAUUAGCCAUUAUUUUAUAAUUACUUUAUAACUGUAUAUUUUAAAUAGUAUAAUAUAUUUACCUGUGAUAUAGUUAUCAACAAUUUAAACACAAAAUUGAUCAAUUGUUGAAUUUAUAUUUGAUUAAAAAAAGUUAAAUUUUUUUUUAUUAUUAUUAUUUGUUUAAAAUUUAUAUUUCAUGUUUUUUUAAAAAAAUUUCUAUUCUAAUAUACAAGGUGUCUCACGAUUUAACAAAUGUAAUAACUUUUGUUUUAUUCAAUAUUUUUGCAAUACAUUUUUUUUAAAUAACAAUUAUGUCUCAGCGCUAUGGUUUAUACAUGUAAUUUUUUAUUUUUAGGGAAAAGAGGAAUUAAAAUAAAAAUUUAAAAUUUAAUUUAAAUUUUUUUAAAAAAAUUAAAAAUAGUAAUUUUGUAAAAUAGAUUUUUAGACAAUUUUUUGUGGUUAAAACUUUUGUUAAAAUAUGAUCUUUUAUUUUCUAAAAGUUUUGAAAAUUUGAAUAAUUUUCAUUUCAAUCAUAAUAAUAUUGUUUAUCAACAUAAUUUACCAUUAUUGAUUGAUUUAAACUAUUUAAUAACUAUAAUAUGAUAAUAUUAUUGCAUGAUAUUAUAUCAUGGAAAAGAAAAUCCUUGUAAUAUUGUAAUAUUCACAUUUGCAAAAACUUCAAAAAAUCGUAGAAAAUAAAAGAUCAUACUUUAACAAAAAUGUCAACCACUAAAACAAUUCUAAAUAUCUAUUUUACAAAAUGUUUAUUUUUUAUUUUUUAUUUUAAGUCUCCCUACCGCUAAAAAAAAAAAAUAUUCAUACAUAAACUGUAGUGCUGAGGCAUACUAAUUAUUUAAAAAAAAUAUAUAUCAAAAAUAUUGAAUUGAACAAAAAUUAUUGUAUUUGUCAAAUUCUUGUGGAACACUUUGUAUGUGUAGAUUUUGCACUGAUAGGAGAAAAACCUUAAUUGGUUUUCAGAAUUUUGACAUUAGUAUCAAAGCAUCUAAUUAAUCAGCUUUAAAUUUAAACAAAAUAAAAAUACCUAAAUCACUACCUAUAGAUAUUUAAUACCUAUGAUAUUUAUUUUUUUAGGAAGUGAUAAACAAUUUAGAAAAAGGUAAAUCUAAUAUUGAUAAAUUUAAUGAAAGUGCAGAUCCACUUUUAAAAUCACAUCUUGAAACUUAUGUUAAUAAUCAGUUAAGACAUCUUAACUCUCGAUAUGAAGUAAGGUUAAAUAUUUAAAAAUAUUUUCCAAUUGUAACAAUACUAAUGAAAUAUUUCAGGUACAAGUAAAUUUAGCAAAAGAUGUACAAAGAAAAGUAGAAACUAACCUUGAACACCAUUUACAAUAUGCCAAUUAUUUAGAAAAAGCUAAAACAUGGAUAAAUAAUGCAAAAGAAGCAAUUAGGUGUGGAAAUGAAACAACAGCUAAUACUAGUAAAGAAGUUUUACAAGCUCGUCUUGAUAAAAUUUUGGUAAAAGUCAAAUUUAUUUUGUAUGUAUUAAAAUAUAUUAUAUUUGAAUAGUUACUUUUUUUUAGGAAUUACUAAAAUCACAAGAAGAAGGUCAGCUAAUUAUUCAUUCCACUGUAAAUUCUGGUGAAAAAGUUCUUAGGAGUACUAGAUCUGAUGGAAAAGACUUAAUUAACAAUCAAUUAAAAGAAAUUCAAACAGAUUGGGAUAGGCUUGUAAAAAAAAUAGCUACAUCUAAAGUUCAUAUUGAAACAAGUCUUCUACAAUGGGCCGAUUACAAUUCAUCAUAUUCACAUCUAGAACAAUGGAUCUCAGAUCGCGAAGCUAAACUGGAAGAAGUUUGUGAACUUAAAGUAAAAAGACAUUUAUUCAUUAUAAUAUUUUUAUACAUAAUAAAAGUAUAGUACAAUUCUUAAAUAUGAAUAAAAUCAGAAGAUAUUAAAUUAUAUACGUUGCUUUUUUACUAUUAACAUUAAAAGAAAUUAUUUUGUUUGUGUUCAUAGGUAGUUAAUACUUAAAUUUUAAAUAUUAUUAAAAUCAAUUUUAUACAUUUUUAAAAUAUAUUUUCAAUUAGGUAACAAAAGCAAAAAAAAAUCAAACCGGAAUUGGAUCAUUGAGUAUUGGAGAACGAAAAGCAACACUACGUAGAACAAAUAGUAUUGUUCAAGAUAUUGUUUCAUUUGAACCUAUGAUUCAAAAAGUAACACUUAAGGCAGAAGACUUACAACAAGGUGUACCUGCAAAUGAAAUAACUAACAAAUAUCAUACAUUGAGUAUUAAAGCUAAAGGUCUUUAUGAAAAGCAAAAAGAAACAGUAAGAUUACAUCAAGAAUUCAUUGAUGCUGGAAAUGAUUUUGCUAUUUGGCUAAGGUCAUCUAAAGAACGUGUUAGCAAAAUAUCUGAACCAACAGGAGAUAAAGAAAUGUUGAGUGCUAAAUCUGUUCAAUUUAAGGUACCUACUCGAUAUUACAAUCUUGUUUAAAUAUUAAAAUUAUUUAUGAUUUUAUUAUUGUUCUAGGUAUUACAGAGUGAAUUACCCGAAGGACAAAAAAAAUUAGAGAUUGCUCUCGAAAGAGCAGAAAAAGCAUGUUCAUUCGCCGAUGAAGAAGAAAAAGAAAUUAUUGAACAGGAAGUAGUUAUGCUACAAGAAGAAUUUGAUAUACAUAAUGACAUACUUCAAAAAACUAAAACAUUGUUAGAAGUAAAUACAAUUUAUUAUUAGAAAUGUUACUUGUUUAUUUAAAUAUAUAUUGAUCUAUACAUAUUAUCUAUUAAUAUUUAUCUAUAUGUAUUUUUAACUUUAGGAUGGCAUUUACAAAUGGAAUGAUUUUGAUGAUUAUUCUAAAGGUGCCACAGAGUGGUUAAAUAAUACUGAGCUACUUGUACAAUCAUAUAAUAAACUACAGCCAAGUCUAGAUGGGAAAAAGGAAGCACUAGAAGAAUUUCAAACUCAAUUACAAAUGCUAUUUGACUGGCAGAAAGAAUUGGAUAUUUUAAAUGGAAAAGCACAGGUAUUCAAUUGAAAUAGUUAUUUUAAAAUAUUAUUCCUCCUUAUUAUAUUAAUAUUAAAUGUUUUUAAAUUUAGGUUCUUUUGGAAACAUGUUCUGAUACACGUUUAUCAAAUUCAAUAACCCAAAUGACAACUAAAUACAAUACAUUACUAUCCUUAGCUAAAGAAGUUAUGCGACGUUUAGAAUUACAUUAUCAAGAGCAUCAACAACAUAAUUCAUUAUACCAGGAAUGUCUAGAUUGGCUUGAAAGAACUCGAGAUAAGGUAUUUUUACUAAUAAAAAUGCACAUACAAAUUAUUAAUAAAAAAUGUUUGUUUUAAGUUAAAUGAAUGUGAAGAAAUACCAAACAGGUUAAAUGAAGUUAAAAAUAAACUUCAGAGCUUAAAGGUUAUUAGGCAAACACUUGAACAAGGUCAAAAUCGUUUAAGAUACAUAAUGGAAUUAAAAGAAAAAGUUGUACUUAACACUGAAUCUCAAGGUACUGUUAAAAUUGAAGAAGACACUGAAAAUUUAAGACAAGAAUUUGACAAACUUUCAAAUAAAAUCCAAGUAAGUAAUGAUUAAUGUUAUGUACUUAAUAAGAAUCUAAAAUGUAUAUAACUGUCAACUGUCUUUUGUAAAAGGCGUGUAACAAUAAUUUAACUUUGAGAGUAACACAACUUGAAGAAUUAGAGAAAUGUAUAAAAAUAUUAAAUGAAUGCUUGGACGAUAUAAGUUCUAAAACUAAUGGAAAUGAUCUUGAUCAACCAUUAAAUGAUUUAAGUGAAAAGAAAACAGCGUUUGAGAAAUUUAAAUCCUUACUUCGUGAACUUAAUACCCAC